GGGUUGUGAGGUUAAGCGACUAAGCGUACACGGUGGAUGCCCUGGCAGUCAGAGGCGAUGAAGGACGUGCUAAUCUGCGAUAAGCGUCGGUAAGGUGAUAUGAACCGUUAUAACCGGCGAUUUCCGAAUGGGGAAACCCAGUGUGUUUCGACACACUAUCAUUAACUGAAUCCAUAGGUUAAUGAGGCGAACCGGGGGAACUGAAACAUCUAAGUACCCCGAGGAAAAGAAAUCAACCGAGAUUCCCCCAGUAGCGGCGAGCGAACGGGGAGCAGCCCAGAGCCUGAAUCAGUGUGUGUGUUAGUGGAAGCGUCUGGAAAGGCGCGCGAUACAGGGUGACAGCCCCGUACACAAAAAUGCACAUAUUGUGAGCUCGAUGAGUAGGGCGGGACACGUGGUAUCCUGUCUGAAUAUGGGGGGACCAUCCUCCAAGGCUAAAUACUCCUGACUGACCGAUAGUGAACCAGUACCGUGAGGGAAAGGCGAAAAGAACCCCGGCGAGGGGAGUGAAAAAGAACCUGAAACCGUGUACGUACAAGCAGUGGGAGCACGCUUAGGCGUGUGACUGCGUACCUUUUGUAUAAUGGGUCAGCGACUUAUAUUCUGUAGCAAGGUUAACCGAAUAGGGGAGCCGAAGGGAAACCGAGUCUUAACUGGGCGUUAAGUUGCAGGGUAUAGACCCGAAACCCGGUGAUCUAGCCAUGGGCAGGUUGAAGGUUGGGUAACACUAACUGGAGGACCGAACCGACUAAUGUUGAAAAAUUAGCGGAUGACUUGUGGCUGGGGGUGAAAGGCCAAUCAAACCGGGAGAUAGCUGGUUCUCCCCGAAAGCUAUUUAGGUAGCGCCUCGUGAAUUCAUCUCCGGGGGUAGAGCACUGUUUCGGCAAGGGGGUCAUCCCGACUUACCAACCCGAUGCAAACUGCGAAUACCGGAGAAUGUUAUCACGGGAGACACACGGCGGGUGCUAACGUCCGUCGUGAAGAGGGAAACAACCCAGACCGCCAGCUAAGGUCCCAAAGUCAUGGUUAAGUGGGAAACGAUGUGGGAAGGCCCAGACAGCCAGGAUGUUGGCUUAGAAGCAGCCAUCAUUUAAAGAAAGCGUAAUAGCUCACUGGUCGAGUCGGCCUGCGCGGAAGAUGUAACGGGGCUAAACCAUGCACCGAAGCUGCGGCAGCGACACUGUGUGUUGUUGGGUAGGGGAGCGUUCUGUAAGCCUGUGAAGGUGUGCUGUGAGGCAUGCUGGAGGUAUCAGAAGUGCGAAUGCUGACAUAAGUAACGAUAAAGCGGGUGAAAAGCCCGCUCGCCGGAAGACCAAGGGUUCCUGUCCAACGUUAAUCGGGGCAGGGUGAGUCGACCCCUAAGGCGAGGCCGAAAGGCGUAGUCGAUGGGAAACAGGUUAAUAUUCCUGUACUUGGUGUUACUGCGAAGGGGGGACGGAGAAGGCUAUGUUGGCCGGGCGACGGUUGUCCCGGUUUAAGCGUGUAGGCUGGUUUUCCAGGCAAAUCCGGAAAAUCAAGGCUGAGGCGUGAUGACGAGGCACUACGGUGCUGAAGCAACAAAUGCCCUGCUUCCAGGAAAAUCCUCUAAGCAUCAGGUAACAUCAAAUCGUACCCCAAACCGACACAGGUGGUCAGGUAGAGAAUACCAAGGCGCUUGAGAGAACUCGGGUGAAGGAACUAGGCAAAAUGGUGCCGUAACUUCGGGAGAAGGCACGCUGAUAUGUAGGUGAAGCGACUUGCUCGUGGAGCUGAAAUCAGUCGAAGAUACCAGCUGGCUGCAACUGUUUAUUAAAAACACAGCACUGUGCAAACACGAAAGUGGACGUAUACGGUGUGACGCCUGCCCGGUGCCGGAAGGUUAAUUGAUGGGGUCAGCGCAAGCGAAGCUCUUGAUCGAAGCCCCGGUAAACGGCGGCCGUAACUAUAACGGUCCUAAGGUAGCGAAAUUCCUUGUCGGGUAAGUUCCGACCUGCACGAAUGGCGUAAUGAUGGCCAGGCUGUCUCCACCCGAGACUCAGUGAAAUUGAACUCGCUGUGAAGAUGCAGUGUACCCGCGGCAAGACGGAAAGACCCCGUGAACCUUUACUAUAGCUUGACACUGAACAUUGAGCCUUGAUGUGUAGGAUAGGUGGGAGGCUUAGAAGUGUGGACGCCAGUCUGCAUGGAGCCGACCUUGAAAUACCACCCUUUAAUGUUUGAUGUUCUAACGUUGACCCGUAAUCCGGGUUGCGGACAGUGUCUGGUGGGUAGUUUGACUGGGGCGGUCUCCUCCUAAAGAGUAACGGAGGAGCACGAAGGUUGGCUAAUCCUGGUCGGACAUCAGGAGGUUAGUGCAAUGGCAUAAGCCAGCUUGACUGCGAGCGUGACGGCGCGAGCAGGUGCGAAAGCAGGUCAUAGUGAUCCGGUGGUUCUGAAUGGAAGGGCCAUCGCUCAACGGAUAAAAGGUACUCCGGGGAUAACAGGCUGAUACCGCCCAAGAGUUCAUAUCGACGGCGGUGUUUGGCACCUCGAUGUCGGCUCAUCACAUCCUGGGGCUGAAGUAGGUCCCAAGGGUAUGGCUGUUCGCCAUUUAAAGUGGUACGCGAGCUGGGUUUAGAACGUCGUGAGACAGUUCGGUCCCUAUCUGCCGUGGGCGCUGGAGAACUGAGGGGGCUGCUCCUAGUACGAGAGGACCGGAGUGGACGCAUCACUGGUGUUCGGGUUGUCAUGCCAAUGGCACUGCCCGGUAGCUAAAUGCGGAAGAGAUAAGUGCUGAAAGCAUCUAAGCACGAAACUUGCCCCGAGAUGAGUUCUCCCUGACCCUUUAAGGGUCCUGAAGGAACGUUGAAGACGACGACGUUGAUAGGCCGGGUGUGUAAGCGCAGCGAUGCGUUGAGCUAACCGGUACUAAUGAACCGUGAGGCUUAACCUUACAACGCCGAAG
rnacentral:rRNA from 1 species